ACGAACGCUGGCGGCGUGCUUAACACAUGCAAGUCGAACGGAAAGGCCCUGCUUUUGUGGGGUGCUCGAGUGGCGAACGGGUGAGUAACACGUGAGUAACCUGCCCUUGACUUUGGGAUAACUUCAGGAAACUGGGGCUAAUACCGGAUAGGAGCUCCUGCUGCAUGGUGGGGGUUGGAAAGUUUCGGCGGUUGGGGAUGGACUCGCGGCUUAUCAGCUUGUUGGUGGGGUAGUGGCUUACCAAGGCUUUGACGGGUAGCCGGCCUGAGAGGGUGACCGGCCACAUUGGGACUGUGAUACGGCCCAGACUCCUACGGGAGGCAGCAGUGGGGAAUAUUGCACAAUGGGCGGAAGCCUGAUGCAGCAACGCCGCGUGCGGGAUGACGGCCUUCGGGUUGUAAACCGCUUUCGCCUGUGACGAAGCGUGAGUGACGGUAAUGGGUAAAGAAGCACCGGCUAACUACGUG
rnacentral:rRNA from 1 species